rnacentral:rRNA from 1 species
GACGAACGCUGGCGGCGUGCUUAACACAUGCAAGUCGAACGGAAAGGCCCUGCUUUUGUGGGGUGCUCGAGUGGCGAACGGGUGAAUAACACGUGAGUAACCUGCCCUUGACUUUGGGAUAACUUCAGGAAACUGGGGCUAAUACCGGAUAGGAGCUCCUGCUGCAUGGUGGGGGUUGGAAAGUUUCGGCGGUUGGGGAUGGACUCGCGGCUUAUCAGCUUGUUGGUGGGGUAGUGGCUUACCAAGGCUUUGACGGGUAGCCGGCCUGAGAGGGUGACCGGCCACAUUGGGACUGAGAUACGGCCCAGACUCCUACGGGAGGCAGCAGUGGGGAAUAUUGCACAAUGGGCGGAAGCCUGAUGCAGCAACGCCGCGUGCGGGGUGACGGCCUUCGGGUUGUAAACCGCUUUCGCCUGUGACGAAGCGUGAGUGACGGUAAUGGGUAAAGAAGCACCGGCUAACUACGUG